GAUGAACGCUAGCUACAGGCUUAACACAUGCAAGUCGAGGGGUAGCAGGGUAGCAAUACCGCUGACGACCGGCGCACGGGUGAGUAACACGUAUCCAACCUUCCCAUAACUCGGGGAUAGCCUUUCGAAAGAAAGAUUAAUACCCGAUAGUACUUUAUUAAGGCAUCUUAAGAAAGUUAAAGAUUUAUUGGUUAUGGAUGGGGAUGCGUUCCAUUAGAUAGUUGGUGAGGUAACGGCUCACCAAGUCUUCGAUGGAUAGGGGUUCUGAGAGGAAGGGCCCCCACAUUGGUACUGAGACACGGACCAAACUCCUACGGGAGGCAGCAGUGAGGAAUAUUGGUCAAUGGGCGAGAGCCUGAACCAGCCAAGUAGCGUGAAGGAUGAAGGUCCUAUGGAUUGUAAACUUCUUUUAUAGUAGAAUAAAGUGAACCACGUGUGGUUUUUUGUAUGUAUACUAUGAAUAAGGAUCGGCUAACUCCGUGCCAGCCGCCGCAGUAAAAC
rnacentral:rRNA from 1 species